GUUUGAACGAAUAUUUGUAUUUAGGAAUGUGAAUUAACAUUUUUGCAGAUAAUAUUACUAAUAAUAAUGUUUAUUGCAGCAUACAAUCAGUUGGUGUGUGUUUAGAUUAUUCUACUCGCCAGAUACUUAUCAUAGUUUAAUCCCAAUUUCCUAUUAGUUAAAGAAAAGUUUAAUGGCUCUUACACUAUUUAGAGGCAUUCAAGGCCACCUGUUACUACCAUGUUCAUCUGCAUUCUCGGCAAGAAAACAUGUUCUUUUUUGUUCGAUGCAAAGCACGCAAACCGAAACCACGAUUAAGACAAAACAACAGGCUCCCUCAAACUUCUCAGAAACUGCACGAGCAAAAGCCGUUGAAAAGGUUUUGAAAGACUAUGAAGCAAUUAUCGGCAUAGAAACACAUGUACAGUUAUCGACUCUGACAAAGGCGUUUUGUAGCUGUGCUUAUAAUUACGGGUCUCUACCAAAUUCGUGUGUUUGUCCUGUUUGUAUGGGUCUACCUGGUGCUUUACCCGUUUUGAACUCUAAAGUAAUACAAUUUGCGGUGAUGCUUGGUCUUGCACUCAACUGCAAAUUAUCUUUGAGUUCAAAGUUUGAUAGGAAACAGUACUUUUAUCCGGAUCUUCCAAAAGGGUACCAGAUUUCCCAAUUUGACAUUCCGAUUGCCACAAAUGGGUUCAUUGAUUUGGAUCUUCCACUUGAAUUUGGUGGAGGACAUAGAAGGUUUGGCAUUACUAGGGUUCAUAUGGAGGAGGAUGCAGGGAAGCUACUCCAUACAGGAACCGGGAGUUAUUCUCAGGUUGAUUUGAAUAGAGCAGGGGUUCCUUUGCUUGAAAUCGUUUCUGAACCUGAUAUGCGAACGGGCAUUGAGGCUGCAGAAUAUGCUGCGGAGCUGCAAAGAGUAGUGAGAUAUUUGGGAGUAGGUAACGGAAACAUGCAAGAAGGAUCACUUCGUUGUGAUGUCAAUGUUUCUAUUCGUCCGAUUGGACAAUUAGAAUUCGGCACCAAGGUCGAGAUAAAGAAUCUGAAUUCAUUCUCUGCAAUGAGUAGAGCUAUUGAUUUUGAGAUUGCAAGGCAGGCGGCACUCUACAACGAAGGGCAAGCCGACGAAAUUGUGCAAGAAACUCGUCUUUGGGAAGAAGGCUCUCAGAAAACAGUUACAAUGAGGAAAAAAGAAGGGCUUGCAGAUUAUCGAUAUUUUCCUGAACCGGACCUUCCAGAAGUUGUACUUACCGAAGAAUAUGUGAAUGGUAUCCGUGAUUCUUUACCUGAACUUCCAGAAAUGAAGCGCCGUAGAUACGAGGAGAUGGGUCUAAGCAUACAAGACGUUCUUUUUCUUGCCAACGAUGUGAACGUUGCAGACUUUUUUGAUGCCACUAUUGCUAAGGUUCCUGAUGUCAAACUGGCGGCUAAUUGGAUCAUGGGAGAUAUUGCUGCUUACAUGAAGAACGAGAAGCUGGCUAUCAAUGAAAUCAAACUUAGCCCUGAAGAGUUAAGUGAGUUGAUAGCCUCCAUAAAAAGUGGAACUAUUAGCGGAAAGAUAGGGAAAGAGAUACUUCUUGAACUAAUGGAAAAAGGUGGAACCGUCAAGGGAUUAAUUGAAGAGAAAGAUCUUGUACAGAUAGUAGACCCUAAUGAGAUCGAGAAAAUAAUUGAUAAAGUAAUUGCUAAUAAUCCAAAGCAGUUGGAGCAAUACCGUGGGGGUAAAACCAAGCUGCAAGGGUUUUUUGCGGGACAGGUGAUGAAAGAAUCAAAGGGCAAGGCAAAUCCAGCGAUCUUGAACAAGAUUCUUUUAGAAAAGUUAAAUGCUUAAUGUUGAUAAUAUGUUGAUUGUAAGGUUCCUCUUUGUUAGUUAUGUGCGGUUACUCUGUUCCAGAGUUAGCAUUUUUUUUUACUUUUUGUUUAUAUACAGGUGGAUCUGGGUUCUGGUUUUUCCUUAACGCAUCAGAUGGGUCAAAUAGGUCUAGCGGGUUGAAAGUUGGUUAAACGGAGUUUAUAAUGCUACAGCCUUCUAAAUCAUUGAUUCAAAAAGUUAGAUUUAUUGUGGUCAAGCUAGAACUGACUUCGGUUCUCCUUGGGGUAUCAAACAAGAAGCAACAGUAGUAUUACCAUCAUCUUUUUGUUGAAACUACACCAGGGAGUUCUACAUAUGAAACAAGAUAGGGGGUUCUUUCUUAUUUUUCAUACUUCUAUUGAACUGCAAACACUGCAGAUGUAUUUAUUCAGAUUAUAGGUUACAAACUGUAUUUGGCUUUUAUUACAACGAUACUCAUACGAAGCUUUUCAUGCCA